GAUGAACGCUGGCGGCGUGCUUAACACAUGCAAGUCGAACGAUUAAAGCCCCUUCGGUGAAUUCUUAGUGGCGAACGGGUGAGUAACGCGUGGGCAACCUGCCCUUCAGAUGGGGACAACAUCCCGAAAGGGGUGCUAAUACCGAAUACGAUCACGCUGCCGCAUGGCGGUGUGAUGAAAGAUGUCCUCUAUUUAUAAGCUAUAGUGGAAGGAUGGGCCUGCGUCUGAUUAGCUAGUUGGUGGGGUAACGGCCUACCAAGGCGAUGAUCAGUAGCCGGUCUGAGAGGAUGAACGGCCACAUUGGGACUGAGACACGGCCCAAACUCCUACGGGAGGCAGCAGUGGGGAAUAUUCCGCAAUGGACGAAAGUCUGACGGAGCAACGCCGCGUGAGUAAUGAAGGUUUUCGGACUGUAAAACUCUGUUGUUUAGGACGAAAGUGCCUGUUGCAAAUAGUUGCAGGUAUUGACGGUACUGAACGAGGAAGCCACGGCUAACUACGUGCCAGCCGCCGCAGUAACAC
rnacentral:rRNA from 1 species